rnacentral:rRNA from 1 species
UGAGGAACAUGACCUUCGGCGGGGGAUAGCCGGCCCAACGGCCGGGUAAUACCGCGUACGACCACAUGGGGACAUCCCUGAGUGGUGAAAGCAGCAAUGCGCCGAUGGAGUGCCUCGCGGCCUAUCAGCUAGUUGGUGAGGUAACGGCUCACCAAGGCAACGAUGCGUAGCCGACCUGAGAGGGUNAUCGGCCACAUUGGAACUGAGACACGGUCCAGACCUNUACCGGGAGG